rnacentral:rRNA from 1 species
GACGAACCGUGCGAACGUUGUUCGGAAUCACUGGGCUUAAAAGGGCGCGUAGGCGGGCUGCCGCGUCCGGGGUGAAAUCCCACGGCUCAACCGUGGAACGGCCUCGGAUACGGGCGGCCUCGAGGGGGGUAGGGGGCAUCUGGAACUGUGAGUGGAGCGGUGAAAUGCGUUGAUAUUCACAGGAACUCCGGUGGCGAAGGCGGUUCUCUGGGCCUUACCUGACGCUGAGGAGCGAAAGCGUGGGGAGCGAACAGG